rnacentral:rRNA from 1 species
UACGUAGGGGGCAAGCGUUGUCCGGAUUUAUUGGGCGUAAAGAGCGUGUAGGCGGCCAUACAGGUCCGUUGUGAAAACUGGAGGCUCAACCUCCAGACGUCGACGGAAGCCGUAUGGCUAGAGUCCGGAAGAGGAGAGUGGAAUUCCUGGUGUAGCGGUGAAAUGCGCAGAUAUCAGGAAGAACACCCGUGGCGAAGGCGGCUCUCUGGGACGGUACUGACGCUGAGACGCGAAAGCGUGGGGAGCGAACAGG